rnacentral:rRNA from 1 species
UGGGGAAUAUUGCACAAUGGGCGAAAGCCUGAUGCAGCAACGCCGCGUGAGCGAUGAAGGCCUUUGGGUCGUAAAGCUCUGUCCUUGGGGAAGAAAAAAAUGACGGUACCCUUGGAGGAAGCCCCGGCUAACUACGUGCCAGCAGCCGCGGUAAUACGUAGGGGGCAAGCGUCAUCCGGAAUUAUUGGGCGUAAAGAGUGCGUAGGUGGUUUUGUAAGCGCGGAGUGAAAGGCAAUGGCUCAACUAUUGUAAGCCCUGCGAACUGUGAGACUUGAGUGCAGGAGAGGAAAGCGGAAUUCCUAGUGUAGCGGUGAAAUGCGUAGAUAUUAGGAGGAACACCAGUGGCGAAGGCGGCUUUCUGGACUGUAACUGACACUGAGGCACGAAAGCGUGGGGAGCAAACA